GGGUGAGUAACGCGUGAGCAACCUGCCCAUAAGAGGGGGAUAACAGCUGGAAACGGCUGCUAAUACCGCAUAAGACCACAUUGCCACAUGGCAGAGGGGUCAAAGAUUUAUCGCUUAUGGAUGGGCUCGCGUCUGAUUAGCUAGUUGGUAGGGUAACGGCCUACCAAGGCGACGAUCAGUAGCCGACCUGAGAGGGUGAUCGGCCACACUGGAACUGAGACACGGUCCAGACUCCUACGGGAGGCAGCAGUGGGGAAUAUUGGGCAAUGGGGGAAACCCUGACCCAGCAACGCCGCGUGAGGGAAGAAGGCUUUCGAGUUGUAAACCUCUGUCCUAUGGGAAGAAGAAAGUGACUGUACCAUAGGAGGAAGCUCCGGCUAACUACGUGCCAGCAGCCGCGGUAAUACGUAGGGAGCAAGCGUUGUCCGGAAUUACUGGGCGUAAAGGGUGCGUAGGCGGCGCAGUUAGUCAGAAGUGAAAUAUCGGGGCUUAACCCCGGGGCUGCUUCUGAUACUGCUGUGCUCGAGUGCAGGAGAGGUAAGUGGAAUUCCUAGUGUAGCGGUGAAAUGCGUAGAUAUUAGGAGGAACACCAGUGGCGAAGGCGACUUACUGGACUGUAACUGACGCUGAGGCACGAAAGCGUGGGUAGCAAACAGGAUUAGAUACCCUGGUAGUCCACGCUGUAAACGAU
rnacentral:rRNA from 1 species